rnacentral:lncRNA from 1 species
ACUAUUGGCAGAUGCGGUCUCAGAAGCGUCACUGAGCAUGCGCAGAACUGACCGCUGUAGCUUUAUAGACUGCGGUGUCAAGAGAGUCGGUCCCGAAGCGGAAGUGUUUCUUAGAGCCAGUUGUUAUAGCGGUUUCCUCAACAGCAAGCAGAAAAUCGGCUGUCGAGAAAGACACCUGUGAGCUGUGCUAAGGCUUCAUGCGCAUCUCUCAGGCCCCUUUUUAGACGCUCCCGCCUCUGCCUCUACCCUUCUCCGUUUGCCAAGCCCUGAGGAGACCUGGCGUAAAUGUUCCAGCUGAAGUGAAUUUGUACCUGAAGGCCUCCUUCCGGUUCCUGGGCUAGCCGACCCCAGUGAGGUGAGGAGAGGGAAGAAGCCCUUGAGAGGACUUACUUGGCAGCGGGCCACUCCGUAUUUGGGGCUGAGAAGGGUGAGCGGGGCCUGGUGAUUUGGGGUCUGAAGGAGAUGGGGGUAAAACG